UGGAUCGUGGCUGACCUCGGGUAACCGCAACCACAGAGAGCAAAAGCACGGAUCAGAGGGGAUUACUGUAUAUACACACUGCACAUAUGUGCCAUACACGUAUAUAUUGAAACCACAGUGUUCACACAUUGGAAGACAACUGUGAAGCAAUGAUAUUGGACUCAUUAGUUCCCUUCUGCUGAUGAGGAAACAUCCUGGGGCCACAGAGCUCACCAGUGGUGUGCUGGGACUAAACCCAAGAGCUCUUUGUGACUCUAUGUCCAGGACAUUUUGACCACAUUGUCUCUUGACUGCCUCGAAACCACUGGCUCUUUCUCAGAGUGUUUACAGCAGCCAAAGAUAAACAGCCUGCGAAAGCCUAGAGAACAUCACGGUUUGUGCCCAUCAGUGGCCCAAACCAUUUUUAAAACAGUAAUUUAUUUAAUUUAACAAAAGCUUGAUUGUGAGCCAGAUGGGUGUCUUUUUUUUUUUUUUCCUCUUAACUGUAACAUAGGUCGGGCCUUCUGCAGAAAUUAAGACAUGCAGUUAAGCUGCAUAAUAUAAAAACCACUGCUUUGUUAAUGGAGCUCAUGACCCUCAUGGUUAGUUAGUCUUGGAGUGAGGAAAGAAUCAACUUCCCAGAAUUCUGUACUUAAAACAUGAAUCUUGUUUUCCUCUAAGUCUGUGAAGAUAAAUAAACAAGCUUGUCGGUUAGA